ACUCCUACGGGAGGCAGCAGUGGGGAAUAUUGCACAAUGGGCGGAAGCCUGAUGCAGCAACGCCGCGUGAGGGAUGACGGCCUUCGGGUUGUAAACCUCUUUUAGCAAGGAAGAAGCGUGAGUGACGGUACUUGCAGAAAAGCACCGGCUAAUUACGUGCCAGCAGCCGCGGUAAUACGUAGGGUGCAAGCGUUAUCCGGAAUUAUUGGGCGUAAAGAGCUCGUAGGCGGUUUGUCGCGUCUGCUGUGAAAACCCGAGGCUCAACCUCGGGCCUGCAGUGGGUACGGGCAGACUAGAGUGCGGUAGGGGAGAUUGGAAUUCCUGGUGUAGCGGUGGAAUGCGCAGAUAUCAGGAGGAACACCGAUGGCGAAGGCAGAUCUCUGGGCCGUAACUGACGCUGAGGAGCGAAAGGGUGGGGAGCAAACAGGCUUAGAUACCCUGGUAGGCGUAGU
rnacentral:rRNA from 1 species